rnacentral:SRP_RNA from 1 species
GCCGGGCACAGUGGUGCGUGCCUGUAGUCCUAGCUACUUGGGAUGCUGAGGUGGGAGGAUCACUUGAGCCCAGGAGUUCUGGCCUGUAGUACACUAUGCCUGUUGGGUGUCUGCACUAAGUUCGGCAUCAAUAUGGUGACCUCCCGGGAGCAGGGAACCACUAGGUUGCCUAAGGAGGGUGAACUGGCCCAGGUCGUAAACGGAGCAGGUCAAAAUUCCUGUGCUGAUCAGUAGUGGGAUUGUGCCUGUGAAUAGCCACUGCACUCCAGCCUGGGCAACAUAGCGAGACCCCAUCUCU